AUUGAACGCUGGCGGCAGGCCUAACACAUGCAAGUCGAGCGGAUGAAGGGAGCUUGCUCCUGGAUUCAGCGGCAGACGGGUGAGUAAUGCCUAGGAAUCUGCCUGGUAGUGGGGGAUAACGUCCGGAAACGGGCGCUAAUACCGCAUACGUCCUGAGGGAGAAAGUGGGGGAUCUUCGGACCUCACGCUAUCAGAUGAGCCUAGGUCGGAUUAGCUAGUUGGUGGGGUAAAGGCCUACCAAGGCGACGAUCCGUAACUGGUCUGAGAGGAUGAUCAGUCACACUGGAACUGAGACACGGUCCAGACUCCUACGGGAGGCAGCAGUGGGGAAUAUUGGACCAUGGGCGAAAGCCUGAUCCAGCCAUGCCGCGUGUGUGAAGAAGGUCUUCGGAUUGUAAAGCACUUUAAGUUGGGAGGAAGGGCAGUAAGUUAAUACCUUGCUGUUUUGACGUUACCAACAGAAUAAGCACCGGCUAACUUCGUG
rnacentral:rRNA from 1 species